GUGAUUUCAGUUGUUGAAGAGCAUGUAGGCCCACUCAAACCUGAAUGGAAAUUGUAUAUGACUAUGAACCUAAUUGCCACUGCUGAAGUCACCCUGUGGUCUUCAUACUUGGGCUGCUAAAAGAAGUUAGGGGGCUGGAAAGGACAGAAAAGUGUGGAAGAAAGAAGAAUACAAAAGAAGAGCUACCUUCUUAUAGGGAUGUGAGCAGUUUCCCAGUGAUGAACUGACUGAGGUGAUGGAUGUGGGUC